rnacentral:rRNA from 1 species
AACGCGAAGAACCUUACCUGGGCUCGAACGGCUUAAGACCAUCCUUGGAAACAGGGACUUCCCGCAAGGGACUUGAGUCGAGGUGCUGCAUGGCUGUCGUCAGCUCGUGUCGUGAGAUGUUGGGUUAAGUCCCGCAACGAGCGCAACCCUUGUCCUGUGUUGCCACUCCCCUUAAAAGGAAGCACUCGCAGGAGACCGCCAGCGAUAAGCUGGAGGAAGGUGGGGAUGAUGUCAAGUCAUCAUGGCCUUUAUGUCCAGGGCUACACACGUGUUACAAUGCGCGCUACAAAGCGUUGCAAACCCGCGAGGGGGAGCUAAUCGCAAAAAAGCGCGCUCAGUUCGGAUUGCAGUCUGCAACUCGACUGCAUGAAGCUGGAAUCGCUAGUAAUGGCGCAUCAGAACGGCGCCGUGAAUACGUUCCCGGGCCUUGUACACACCGCGCAUA